AUGCCUCACUACCGGCACCGGUCCUUUAUUCGCUUCUUCUUUCUAGGAGCCACUACCUUGUUCUUCCCAAUCUUAUCAUAUGUUGUGUCUAAUGGCUACACAAUUACGUCCACCUAUUCAAAUGGACAGAGCUUUUUCCUCCCUCUAGAGGAAGCCGACUCAUUUCUAAUCAUGUCACUCAGCUGCGACACAAGUGGACAUGUGUUCCUGAUCCUAUGGUGGGUUUGCCUUGCUAAAAUUAUUGGAAUCAAUACCAGUAUAAUGGUCGCUGCGGAUGAUAGAGAAGGUCGAAACAAUAGAAUCCCUGUGGUACUACUUGCACAAGCAAUCUGGACCUUGAACCUCGUGUUUGGCUUUCAUUUCCUUUUCUUCUACAAAUUACUAUUAUGGAUUUUCACUAUUCUUCUCUUAGCAAAAUUGGGGCUAAAAUGUUUUGCGUUUUGGAUGGCCCGGCGUUCUUUGGCUCAUGGACGCAACCCUCGCAUUAUUGUUGGAUACAUGAUGCAGUUACAUAAGAGAAGUCAGCAUGCUGGACCAACAAUUGAACAAAACUUGGAGACAUCAGAUAAGCAAUUACUUCCACCACCACUUAUUGUUAUGGGCGAGGAGAGACAAACGGUAGAGAAAAAUCCUCAAGGUUAUUGCAUCCAACAGUUACCAAACCAAGAUGGCAUAACCAUUGGGCACAACUUCUUGGUGACAAUUGACAAAGUUUGGCAAUUGGAUGAUAAACUUCUCAGGCCAACGUCACGAAUCAAAGAAGUGUGCUUUUCAUUUGCACUGUUCAAGUUAUUGCGGAGUCGACUUGCUGGCUAUACAGUCGUUGAAGCAGGCUUUGCACAAGCUCACAACUUCUUCUGGCAUGAGUUCAUUCAGGAUGGCACUACUGAAAGAGUAUUUAGGGUGAUUGAAGAUGAGCUGUCCUUUUUGCAUGAUUACUACUAUACCUCUCACCUUAUGAUUUACUCAAAGAGUUAUCUACCCAAAUUAAGCAUCGUUACCUCAUUGUUUAUCAUACAAUGUUGCCUCUUUGCUCUCUGGGAGAUAGCCGAGAAGAUAAAAUCUGAUCAUUUAAGUGAUUUUGGUCAGAUUUGGUGCCAAAUAGAGUGUGUUGAUGCUUCGAAAUUCAAUAGCCGAGGACCACCAAUGAGGGAAUUUCCGAAUAUCGGAAGCUUGCUGUUGGAUAUAACACUUGUAUGCAUACUUCUUGUAUUAAACAUUGUAUUAUACGGUGUUUGUAUAAACCAUAUGUAG
rnacentral:rRNA from 1 species